rnacentral:lncRNA from 1 species
GUUCUUCUAUCAGUGCACACCCAGAGACCCUCCUCUUCCAUAUAAAAUUAAAUAUAGACAUCAAGAUCUAAAUGUAUCAGUGGGUGCACAAAAGGACCCCAGGAGGGGGAAAUGGAGAAAAUUUCAGGUGCUUAUGCCUUCACGCACCCUUUUCUCUGCCAUCCUGCCCUCGUCUUCACUGUCUGCCCACUGAGACCUGGGGUCACUGCUCACUUUCAGACAGGAAAUUGAAAGACCUUUGCAAACACUUGGUCCCAUCCCUCUCAACUUCCAUUUCCUAAUCCCCAAAGGCCAACGUGGAAAUAAAAAGAUGCUUUCAUGUUGAAGGCACCUGGGAA